rnacentral:rRNA from 1 species
ACGGAAGGCAGCAGUGGGGAAUAUUAGGCAAUGGGGGCAACCCUGACCUAGCAACGCCGCGUGAAGGAAGAAGGCCUUCGGGUUGUAAACUUCUUUUAUAGGGGACGAAACAAAUGACGGUACCCUAUGAAUAAGCCACGGCUAACUACGUGCCAGCAGCCGCGGUAAUACGUAGGUGGCAAGCGUUGUCCGGAUUUACUGGGUGUAAAGGGCGCGUAGGCGGGAUGGCAAGUCAGAUGUGAAAUCCAUGGGCUCAACCCAUGAACUGCAUUUGAAACUGUUCUUCUUGAGUGCUGGAGGGGCAAUCGGAAUUCCUUGUGUAGCGGUGAAAUGCGUAGAUAUAAGGAGGAACACCAGUGGCGAAGGCGGAUUGCUGGACAGUAACUGACGGUGAGGCGCGAAAGUGUGGGGAGCAAACAGGAUUAGAUACCCUGGUA